rnacentral:rRNA from 1 species
CACGUAGGGCGCGAGCGUUUGUCCGGAAUUAUUGGGCGUAAAGAGCUCGUAGGCGGCCUGUUGCGUCCGCUGUGAAAGCCCGGGGCUUAACCCCCGGGUCGGCAGUGGAUACGGGCAGGCUAGAGGUAGGUAGGGGAGAAUGGAAUUCCCGGUGUAGCGGUGAAAUGCGCAGAUAUCGGGAGGAACACCGGUGGCGAAGGCGGUUCUCUGGGCCUUACCUGACGCUGAGGAGCGAAAGCGUGGGGAGCGAACAGG